AGGAAAAGAAACUAACCAGGAUUCCCCCAGUAACGGCGAGUGAAGCGGGAAGAGCUCACGUUGUAAAUCUGGCUUUCGGGCCCGAAUUGUAGUCUGGAGAGGCGAGGCCAGCCGUUGUCCGGGGCGAAGUCUCUUGGAAAAGAGCAUCAAGGAGGGUGACAAUCCCGUUCUUGCCCCGGUAUUGUAUCAGCGUGCGUACGGCCCGUUUUCUAAGAGUCGAGUUGCUUGGGAUUGCAGCUCAAAGCGGGUGGUAAAUACCAUCUAAAGCUAAAUAUUGGUGGGAGACCGAUAGCGAACAAGUACCGUGAGGGAAAGAUGCAAAGAACUUUGAAAAGAGAGUUAAAGAGUGCCUGAAAUUGCUGAAAGGGAAGCGAAGGAAAGCAGUGUCUGGUAGUCUCGCUUCUCCUCUACCCUUCGGGGUGUUGGUCUGCGUUUUUACCGUGGCCAGGGCCGGGUAUGGUUGCGCCAAGCGAAUGUUCGGGAAGGUAGUCUUUUUAAGAUGAAUACCCGGACGUUCAGUCGCGACUGUGGCCGGUUCUGACGAAAUGCUUUUCUUUAC
rnacentral:rRNA from 1 species